rnacentral:rRNA from 1 species
CGUCCGUAGCCCGUUUGUUACAUUCUUGGGUAAAUCAACCAGCUCAACUGGUUUAAUUCUGCGAGAACGGCCAGACUUGGGACCGGGAGAGGUGUGGGGUACUCUCAGGGUAGGGGUAAAAUCCUGUCAUCCUGAGAGGACCACCUGUUGCGAAGGCGCCACACUAGAACGGAUCCGACGGUCAGGGACGAAGCCUAGGGGCACGAACCGGAUUAGAUACCCGGGUAGUCCUAGGUGUAAACGCUGUGGACUUGAUGUUGGUGGUGCUCCGAGCACUCUCAGUGUCGAAGCGAAGGUGAUAAGUCCACUGCCUGGGAAGUACGGUCGCAAGGCUGAAACUUAAAGGAA